rnacentral:rRNA from 1 species
UGCGUAGGCGGCGCGGAAAGUUGGGUGUGAAAUCCCUCGGCUCAACCGAGGAACUGCGCCCAAAACCUACCGUGCUCGAGGGAGAUAGAGGUGAGCGGAACUUAGGGUGGAGCGGUGAAAUGCGUUGAUAUCCUAAGGAACACCCGUGGCGAAAGCGGCUCACUGGGUCUCUUCUGACGCUGAGGCACGAAAGCUAGGGUAGCGAACG